UACGGGGGGGGCAAGCGUUGUUCGGAAUUACUGGGCGUAAAGGGCUCGUAGGUGGCCAACUAAGUCAGACGUGAAAUCCCUCGGCUUAACCGGGGAACUGCGUCUGAUACUGGUUGGCUUGAGUUUGGGAGAGGGACGCGGAAUUCCAGGUGUAGCGGUGAAAUGCGUAGAUAUCGUAAGGAAGACCAGUGGCGAAGGCGGGUCUCUGGACAGUUCCUGACGCUGAGGCACGAAGGUCAGGGGAGCAAACGGG
rnacentral:rRNA from 1 species